GACGAACGCUGGCGGCGUGCUUAACACAUGCAAGUCGAACGGAAAGGCCCUGCUUUUGUGGGGUGCUCGAGUGGCGAACGGGUGUGUAACACGUGAGUAACCUGCCCCUGACUUUGGGAUAACUUCAGGAAACUGGGGCUAAUAUCGGAUAGGAGCUCCUGCUGCAUGGUGGGGGUUGGAAAGUUUCGGCGGUUGGGGAUGGACUCGCGGGUUAUCAGCUUGUUGGUGGGGUAGCGGCUUACCAAGGCUAUGACGGGUAGCCUGCCUGAGAGGGUGAUCGGCCACACGGGAACUGGGACACGGUCCAGAGUCCUACGGGAGGCAGCAGUAGGGAAUCUUCCGCAAUGGGCGAAAGCCUGACGGAGCAACGCCGCGUGAGUGAUGAAGGUCUUCGGAUCGUAAAACUCUGUUAUUAGGGAAGAACAAAUGUGUAAGUAACUAUGCACGUCUUGACGGUACCUAAUCAGAAAGCCACGGCUAACUACGUG
rnacentral:rRNA from 1 species